UUGGUUGUGCACCUGUCUCAUAAUAUCCAAAUUACGGUAGAGGCAAGCGUGUAUGUGAACUACCGGAACUGUGUUGUAGACACGUCGUCGCAAAAUCAUCUUCUGGAAUAUUGAUUUUUGAAAUUGUGUUUCUUCUAAGUAAGAAAAUAUACAUAUAGUAUGGCGACACUCCAUUUCACGAAUUGUUGCAAAGUGACCAUGAAUACCAAGUUCACCAGGACGGAACACAAACCUUGUUACAUGCUGGAGCUGUGGAGCUGACCCGAGUCUCUAUUGAACCAGUGUCUGAAGUCAAAUCUACCGAUCCAUCAAUAAGUGCGAAGUCGAUGUACAAUUAUUGUCAGCGGAACAUGAUGUGUAUUAAAUUGCCGGAACACAAGAUGCUAUCAAUAGCCGGAUUUAUGCGGUCUUAAUUCUACAAAUAAUCGCACGCGGAUAUUUAUUAGGAUUUAUAUCACUGGAUCGCCGGAAUUAAUUAAAUUUGCCAACUGUGUUUCUUAUACAACAAACGAGUAAUUCUCGAACGAUAUUACAUACUUAAAUAUAAUUAAGCCCAAGCAUUAUAUACGGUAUUAUAUUAUAUUAUAUUAUAUUAAACUAGAAUCUUUAUAUUCUAUUUAUAUUACGUUUAUAUAGUUCUGAUGUAACA